CUCAACUCUACCAGCUAUAAAUUCGCGUGCAAUUCAGUCCAGUUCCACUAACUUCAUCAUGGGACCCUUCCAUCAUAUGGUUGUGACGACCAUGCUGGCGUUUCUUUUACGGGAGGAUUCGGUGCAAGCGAAUAAGGCGGUUCUUGUACGAGGUCCAUCGGACGGAAAGCCAGAGGUGCUUAAAUUGGACUUAUUCGAGUUUAUACAG